rnacentral:rRNA from 1 species
AUUGAACGCUGGCGGCAGGCUUAAUACAUGCAAGUCGAACGAGAGGCGGACGGGUGUGUAAUGCUUGGGAAUCUAGCUUAUGGAGGGGGAUAACUACGGGAAACUGUAGCUAAUACCGCUUAACAUAGUAUGAGCCCAAGUGGGAUUAGGUAGUUGGUGGGGGAAAGGAUCACCAAGCAGACGAUCUCUAGCUGGUCUGAGAGGAUGACCAGCCAGACUGGGACUGAGACACGGCCCAGACUCCUACGGGAGGCAGCAGUGGGGAAUAUUGCGCAAUGGGGGCAACCUGACGCAGCCAUGCCGCGUGAAUGAAGAAGGCCUUCGGGUUGUAAAGUUCUUUCGGUAGCGAGGCGUUAACUACAGAAGAAGCACCGGCUAACUCCGUGCCAGCAGCCGCGGUAAUAC